rnacentral:rRNA from 1 species
ACGCGUGGGAAUCUGCCCUUGGGUUCGGAAUAACUUCUGGAAACGGAAGCUAAUACCGGAUGAUGACGUAAGUCCAAAGAUUUAUCGCCCAAGGAUGAGCCCGCGUAGGAUUAGCUAGUCGGUGGGGUAAAGGCCCACCAAGGCGACGAUCCUUAGCUGGUCUGAGAGGAUGAUCAGCCACACUGGGACUGAGACACGGCCCAGACUCCUACGGGAGGCAACAGUAGGGAAUAUUGGACAAUGGGCGAAAGCCUGAUCCAGCAAUGCCGCGUGAGUGAUGAAGGCCUUAGGGUUGUAAAGCUCUUUUACCCGGGAUGAUAAUGACAGUACCGGGAGAAUAAGCUCCGGCUAACUCCGUGCCAGCAGCCGCGGUAAUACGGAGGGAGCUAGCGUUGUUCGGAAUUACCGGGCGUAAAGCGCACGUAGGCGGCUAUUCAAGUCAGAGGUGAAAGCCCGGGGCUCAACCCCGGAACUGCCUUUGAAACUAGAUAGCUUGAAUCCAGGAGAGGUGAGUGGAAUUCCGAGUGUAGAGGUGAAAUUCGUAGAUAUUCGGA